UACGUAGGGACCAAGCGUUGUUCGGAUUUACUGGGCGUAAAGGGCGCGUAGACGGCUUAACAAGUCACUUGUGAAAUCUCCGGGCUUAACUCGGAACGGCCAAGUGAAACUGUCAAGCUAGAGUGCAGAAGGGGCAAUCGGAAUUCUUGGUGUAGCGGUGAAAUGCGUAGAUAUCAAGAGGAACACCUGAGGUGAAGACGGGUUGCUGGGCUGACACUGACGCUGGGGCGCGAAAGCCAGGGGAGCAAACGGG
rnacentral:rRNA from 1 species